GACGAACCGUGCGAACGUUGUUCGGAUUCACUGGGCUUAAAGGGCGCGUAGGCGGGUGACCAAGUCCGGGGUGAAAUCUUUCGGCCCAACCGGAAAAGUGCCUUGGAUACUGGUCGUCUGGAGGGAGGUAGGGGCACGCGGAACUUCCGGUGGAGCGGUGAAAUGCGUAGAUAUGCGGAGGAACACCGAUGGCGAAGGCAAUCCCCUGGACCUGUACUGACGCUCAUGCACGAAAGCGUGGGGAGCAAACAGG
rnacentral:rRNA from 1 species